AACUUUCAACAAUGGAUCACUUGGUUCCCGCAUCGAUGAAGGACGCAGCGAAAUGCGAUAAGUAAUGUGAAUUGCAGAAUUCAGUGAAUCAUCGAAUCUUUGAACGCACAUUGCGCCCCUUGGUAUUCCGAGGGGCAUGCCUGUUCGAGCGUCAUUGUACAAUCUCAAGCCUGGCUUGGUGUUGGGUCUUCGUCUCUUUCUCUCUUUCUCUCCCUUCCUGCUUUUCAUGUAGGAGGGGGAGGGGGGACCCGGACGUACCUGAAAAUUAGUUGGCGGUGCACAUGGUGGCCUCAAGCGUAGCAGACACUCUCUCGCUUUGGAUGGCCUGUCAUGUAGUUUUACCAGCCCUGCAUGCAUCUUUAAUAAAGGUUUGACCUCGGAUCAGGUAGGGAUACCCGCUGAACUUAAGCAUAUCAAUAAGCGGAGGCU
rnacentral:misc_RNA from 1 species